rnacentral:rRNA from 1 species
UCGGGAAUCUUGGGCAAUGGGCGAAAGCCUGACCCAGCAACGCCGCGUGAGGGAUGAAGGCCUUCGGGUCGUAAACCUCUGUCGGGAGGGAAGAACGGUUUCCAUUCGAAUAGGGUGGGAGCCUGACGGUACCUCCAAAGGAAGCGCCGGCUAACUCCGUGCCAGCAGCCGCGGUAAUACGGAGGGCGCGAGCGUUGUUCGGAAUCAUUGGGCGUAAAGCGCGUGUAGGCGGCUUGGCAAGUCGGUCGUGAAAUCCCGGGGCUCAACCCCGGAACUGCGCUCGAAACUGCCUGGCUAGAGUCCCGGAGGGGAGGGCGGAAUUCCCGGUGUAGAGGUGAAAUUCGUAGAUAUCGGGAGGAACACCAGUGGCGAAGGCGGCCCUCUGGACGGUGACUGACGCUGAGACGCGAAAGCGUGGGGAGCAAACAGGAUUAGAUACCCCCGUAGUCC